AUUGAACGCUGGCGGCAGGCCUAACACAUGCAAGUCGAACGAGUGGCGGACGGGUGAGUAAUGUCUGGGAAACUGCCCGAUGGAGGGGGAUAACUACUGGAAACGGUAGCUAAUACCGCAUACCAUCGGAUGUGCCCAUAUGGGAUUAGCUAGUAGGUGGGGUAACGGCUCACCUAGGCGACGAUCCCUAGCUGGUCUGAGAGGAUGACCAGCCAAACGGGAACUGAGACACGGGGCAGACUCCUACGGGAGGCAGCAGUGGGGAAUAGUGCAAAAUGGGCGAAAGCCUGAUGCAGCCAUGCCGCGUGUAUGAAGAAGGCCUUGGGGUUGUAAAGUACUUUCAGCGAGGAGGCGUUACUCGCAGAAGAAGCACCGGCUAACUCCGUGCCAGCAGCCGCGGUAAUUC
rnacentral:rRNA from 1 species